rnacentral:lncRNA from 1 species
UGAAAAACAAGUUAGUGGAGAACAAAGCACGCUUCGCUUCGGCUUUCCCAGGAGUAAUACAUACCCCCAGGCCGUCUGAUUUGGAACCUGUGUACAAGAACUUUGAAGGCCCUGCUAAUCUCAGAAGCUGCUGUACCUUGUUCCAUCCCUGCAGCAUCUCUCUCUGCCUGCCACUGAGGUUCUCACUCCCAUUUUACAGGGUGAAUGGAUGGCACGUGAGACCUGCCCACACCAUCUCAUUAUGAACAGAAGAGGUGCAUCCUGGCAUCCUCUUGCCACAUCAGCUGCACACCCAGAUCACCCACCGUAAGCAGCUGGGGAGGGUGAGGUGGAGCUUGGUACUGUUGAUGCCACCUUGGUUUCAUGAGAAAAGAAUCUGAAAUCAAUGCCAAGAAGAAUAAGUGGAGCCCAAGAGGAAGAAACCAAUGUCUGUAUUAUUUGAGCCCCUGGAUCCAGCUGAGACUGUGCUUAUAAAUAUCCUACUUACGGGAGACAAUGCAUUCUCCUUCCUUCACCGAGAUGAUUUGGGUUGUAUUUUCUGUCACUAUUGCUUGAAAAAAGUUCUGAUACAUGAUAUCAGGUGUCACAUUCACAUAACUCUAAAUAAAG